rnacentral:lncRNA from 1 species
GGGAAACCCAUCGGAGCUCUUUGAGCACAGGUGGCUUUCUCUGCGGCAGCAGAGAAAGAUUCCCAAGGUUGCAGUGCUUGGUCCUUACAUCUUCUCUCCUAGGGAUUCUACAAAAGUAUGUUCCUUUAGUAUUCACAGAGAAGACCAAAGACACGUCACCAAUUCUCAUGCUUUGCACACAUCAAGGAGAAGGCUCAGCACUCUGGAGUCAGUCUUGAGCACCUAAAGCAUCCUGUCAAAUUUUGAUGUGAUGGGAAACAGAAAAGGCAUUUUGCAUCUGGAUAUACAAAUCUCACCAGGUGCAGAUGAUUUGGAGAUGAAUGAGACGAGAUGUGCUCAGACGCUCUGUCAAGUGACAAAGAUGAUGUGAACACGUGAACUUGGAACAAGGACAGCUCUCAGAAGCUACAGCAGAAUGGAUGGAUGAAAACAGGGAAGGCUGAGGCAUCAGACUAUCCUUGGAAAUGUCCUUUAAUGGAACUUAACCUCUCUGGAUGUCCUUGUAACCUUCUGACCUUGGCAGCCACUUAACCUGGCUGACAAGUAUGUCAGGUGUGGCUGCAGCACAGACAACCUAGGAGGGUAUAAGGUGAGAGUCCUGGGUCCUGUGCUUGGAAGGUUAAAAUCGACCUGUUCCUGGGGCCUUAUCUGUUAGACUGAAAACACAUGGGCCUUCAUUUACAAAGUCUCUCUCAUGGUGAAAAAUAUCCAGUGGGGUAGAUGUAUCACCCCUAUGAUAGCCUAGUAUAAACACAGCCCUGGAAGUUGUGUGGGUGUAAACAGGAUAACAGGCAAUGGGAGGCAGGAAUACCAGUGAGAAAGUAAUUGCAAGAUUAGCCAAACAACAGCAAACAUAAAAUAGCACUCUUCUACAUGCUUUUACCUCAAUAACUUCUUUAAAAAAAAAACCCUAUAGGCAAUCUCGUUACUCUUAUCUCACAGAUUAGAAAUGUGGGGUGCAGAGAGGUAAAGUAACUUGCUUAUGAUCGCACAGCGAUGGUGGCUCCAGAAAUCCUACCCUUAACCACUAUAUUAUGGUCCUUAUAUUAUACCCUUAGCCAUUAUAUUAUACCGUAGGGCCCCGGGCAAGAAAACUGGACGUCCUGAACUGAGUUGAAAACAUUGUGAAAACAUGAUUUUUAUUUGACUGUACAUUUUGGACUUGUUACCUCUCUGUCUACUACAUAAGGAGUCUCUUUUUUGGAGCUAUAGGCUCUAGGACAGGUGCUUUGAAGUCUGCAAAUUACUAUUAUUUUUACUAUAUUUUAAUGGGGCCUACUUUAGUGCUCAGCGAAUAGCCAGCCAGUACUUAUAACUGGUUACCAAAUGCACCAAGGUGAUGGGUCAGAGGCAUCCAUGGGCUCUAUAUA